rnacentral:piRNA from 1 species
ACAGGAAUCAAUCAGGGAAAGGCCUGU